AUUGAACGCUGGCGGCAGGCCUAACACAUGCAAGUCGAACGGUAACAGGAAGAAGCUUGCUUCUUUGCUGACGAGUGGCGGACGGGUGAGAAAUGUCUGGGAAACUGCCUGAUGGAGGGGGAUAACUACUGGAAACGGUAGCUAAUACCGCAUAACGUCGCAAGCCCAAAGAGGGGGACCUUCGGGCCUCUUGCCAUCGGCUGUGCCCAGAUGGGAUUAGCUAGUAGGUGGGGUAACGGCUCACCUAGGCGACGAUCCCUAGCUGGUCUGAGAGGAUGACCAGCCACACUGGAACUGAGACACGGUCCAGACUCCUACGGGAGGCAGCAGUGGGGAAUAUUGCACAAUGGGCGCAAGCCUGAUGCAGCCAUGCCGCGUGUAUGAAGAAGGCCUUCGGGUUGUAAAGUACUUUCAGCGGGGAGGAAGGGAGUAAAGUUAAUACCUUUGCUCAUUGACGUUACCCGCAGAAGAAGCACCGGCUAACUCCGUG
rnacentral:rRNA from 1 species